rnacentral:rRNA from 1 species
CAGUCGCCGCGGUAAUACGUAGGGUGCAAGCGUUAAUCGGAAUUACUGGGCGUAAAGCGUGCGCAGGCGGUUAUAUAAGUCAGAUGUGAAAUCCCCGGGCUCAACCUGGGAACUGCGUUUGAGACUGUAUGGCUAGAGUGUGCAGAAGAGGAGAGUGGAAUUCCACGUGUAGCGGUGAAAUGCGUAGAGAUGUGGAGGAACACCAGUGGCGAAGGCGGCUUUUUGGCCUGUAACUGACACUGAGGCGCGAAAGCGUGGGGAGCGAACAGGAUUAGAUACCCCCGUAGUCCCUGUCUCUUAU